rnacentral:rRNA from 1 species
AGGACGAACGCUGGCGGCGUGCCUAACACAUGCAUGUCGAACGAGUCCACCCUUUCGGGGGUGAGGCGAGUGGCGGACGGGUGAGUAACACGUGAGCAAUCUGUCCCUGUGUGGGGGAUAACUCGGGGAAACUCGAACUAAUACCGCAUGGGCGGUUUCCAGGAUCUGGAAGCUGGGAAAGGUGGCCUCUUUACAAUGCUGCCAUGCAGGGAGAGCUCGCGGGCUAUCAGCUAGUUGGUGAGGCCAUAGCUCACCAAGGCGACGACGGCUACGGGGUCUGAGAGGACGACCCCGCACAUUGGAACUGAGACACGGUCCAGACUCCUACGGGAGGCAGCA